UGAAAUGCAGGUGCAGCUGGACAUUCUCCUGAGCUAUAAGCAUAUUUAUUUAGUCCCGUCAAACGGAUUAUUACUUUUGUUGCAGCUAACAUAAAGGGAGGCUGACCAUAUUGGCUAACUGAUGCAGGAUUUCACAAGGGUCGGCAACGAUUCUUGUAAAACUCGAUCUCAAAACAAGUAAGACUACCCGCUGAACUUAA
rnacentral:misc_RNA from 1 species